UGAAUCAACUCCAUUCACCGGUACCGGUUCAUGUGGACGAAAGUUAUAUUGGACAAAUGUUUGGUAAUUUAGGUCAAGUACUCGAAUUCAAAAAAAUGGCUGAUUCUUGUUUAUUAAAUCGUGGCACCAUAAAGCAUCGGAUUUAUGACGGAUUAAAAAUAAAUAAGGAUAAAGACACUUCGCCACGCUAUGUGGUAUUUUUCGUCCCCCGGAAGUAUGGCACUACGGAGAAUAUGGAGACAGUCCAAAUGAGUUUUCACAUGUGCCUCUUUAUCGUCAGGAAUCAUGCCAAAAAAAACGAUGCCAUAUACUUCGACCCUUCAACAAAGGCAUAUUCGCAUGGACUGCCAAAGAUUCUUGAUGACUUAAUUGAUCCGCGUUUUCAAUCUUUCACAAACAAAUUUGGCACUGCUUCAGAAAAGAAUGAUUGCAUGCUACAAUGCAUGCAAUACAUUAUUGGAAUGGCAAUGGGAGAGAUUCCGUUUUCACCAGACCUUUCGGAGCCGAGUACAAAGCGUGGUAAAUACCAACUGGAAAGAGCUGCUGGAAAUAAAAAAAUGAAAUUUGAAUAGCAUCCCAAGUCGUUAACUAAUAAAAAAUGCCAAAUGAUACACCUUUGUUAA